CAGAGGGAGGCAACUGAAUCAUGAGGGCUGGUCUUUCCCAUAUUAUUCUUGUUACAGUGAAUAAGUCUCAUGAGAUCUGAUGGGUUUAUCAGGGGUUUCUGCUUUUGCUUCUUUCUCAUUUUCUCUUGCCACUGCCAUGUAAGAAGUACCUUUUGCCUCCCGCCAUGAUUCUGAGGCCUCCCCAGCCAUGUGGAACUAUGGAGUCUCCCUCUGUUUCCAGGCUGGAGUGUAGUGGAACGAUCUCGGCUCACUGCAAUCUCCAUCUCCCAGGUUCAAGCGAUUCUCUGCCUCAGCCUCCCAAGUAGCUGGGACUACAGUCAACAGAACAGAUGAAGAGAACUCAGAAUUACAAAAUUUGUUUCCAACUCCACUACACCCAUUUUUGGAAGAUCUGUUUUGAAUCCACGUUUCCAAGGAUGAUUUAGAAAAAGACAGCAAACUGAACAAAGCCCUGAGGAAAUAUUAACAAGUACAACCUUUCCCUGGAAGCAAUACACAUUUUCCUGGUGCCUGUUUAUUGUCACCUUUAUCUCCUUACUUGGGCUUGACAGCAAGUGGUGAACCAGGAUUUAUCUUGUUGAGGCUCAAAGCUUUAGUGGUGUUGUCAUUCGCCAGUAGCUCUGGUUCCUCUCAGCAAAAACAGUGGAAAACACUUUUAAUUGUAAAAUACAUUAUGUUUAACUUCCACUAAAAAAAAAAGAUGGUGAAGGAAAAAGUUUUUUGUGUUUUUAUUUUGUAGAUCAAAACCUAGUAUUUAUUUUGGAAAGAUGGGUACAGUUAUUUUUUCCCCAUGUUUGUUCUAUUCCCUUUAAGCUUCUAAAGGAACAAACAAAAAAUAGCUUAACUGAAACUAACAAAGGAUGAUGAAACACUUUUAAGUCUUCAAAAAGGUAAUAUUGGAUACUUGCAAUUGCUAGCAAUAUUUGGAGUUAAGGGAUAAUGUUUAAAACUCAACUGAACUUUCUUUACAGUUGUAAGGAUUUCUAAGAGUGAGAUUCUAGGCCC
rnacentral:lncRNA from 1 species